rnacentral:rRNA from 1 species
GUAUAAGUAAGAGAAGAUAAGGAUAGUGGUAUCCUGAGUAGGGCGGGGCACGUGAAACCCUGUCUGAAUUUGGCGGGACCAUCCGCUAAGGCUAAAUACUCCUGAGAGACCGAUAGUGAACCAGUACCGUGAGGGAAAGGUGAAAAGAACCGUGAAUAACGGAGUGAAAUAGAUCCUGAAACCAUACGCUUACAAGCGGUCGGAGCCCUUU